CGCCGUCCGAUCCUGCCGACCAACGAUGCCUCUGAUUUCAACCUUCAUUACUCGCAGUUUAGCCUAGAAAGUUUGCAUAGGGAGGAGAAACUGGUAGAACUUGGCUCUAGGAACUUUUUCAUGUGCUCAAGGAUUUAUAUCGUGUUUUCAUUCACCAUUCUUCACUCAAAAUGAGCAGCUCAAGGGAAAACUCGCCAGAUUGGUUAUGUUAUUUUAUGAAACAUAUGGAAACAUAAGGGAUGACUAGAGUGUGCUGGUUUGGAAAGCUUACUGCUUCCUAUCAUGUGCUUCUCUUUGCUGGUGAGUGGUGAUGGUGUCAAAGUAGAUGAGGAGAUGUCAAAGUUGCUUCCUUCUCAGAAAAAGAAGAUGAGACAAAAACAAAGAAAGGCAGAAGCAAGAGCUAAGAAAGGGGCAGAGGAAAAGAAUGAAGAGUUUAGUGUUAGUGAGGUAUUCAAGUCUAGGAAACGACAUGUAAAACCUGUGAAUCCUGAUCCACAUGGGGAGAAGUUAUUGCAGAUUGGCCAAGAGAAAGGGAUGCAGCAAGGAGGACAACCACCUUUGUCUGAGUUUUUUCUCCUCUUUCUGAUCUGAACAGAUAAAAAUUGAUUUGGAAAUAUUUCAAGAAUGGUUAUCUUGUGAAAAGCCCAAAUGGUACUAUGUGGAAUGCCCAAGUGUUUAGAUGGGGAGGAAAGAUUUUUUUGUUGCUCUCUACUGUCACAAAGCUUUUAAAGGAGUUCAUAAAAAGACUGUCGCAUGAGACAAAUGGUCUAUAUUUCAGGUUGAUGGUGAUCGUGAGCUACUUUUUCUCUAUGAACGGAGAAAGAAGAACUCAUGGAAGGAAAUUGGGUUACCAUCGGAGGUCUGACAAAUAUUUAUUUUUUAUUAUUAUCAAAUUACAUGCUUUUCCACAAAUUUAGUUCACUUAAAAAACUUUGCCUAAUCUUACUAAUUAAAAAUGCUCAUUUUAUUAGUCUAUUUUUUUCUUCUAACUCAUGCAAUCUAUUUUUGACGUUUAAAGAUGGACUAAUAUUUUUAACUAAUUAAUACAUGCAUAACUACUGCAUUGUUUGGAUUAGCUUCUAGCUUAUAGAAAGUAUUCAAUUGAUAUUUGGUUCCUAAGAAAAAACUCUUCAUUGAAUGGGAACUUCUCAAUUGUUAUUUGGUUCCUAACGAAGAAAAUGCCUUUAUAAGUGUAUAUGGUGAAGUUAUAUGAUGGAUCUUCUAGAAAAGACGAGGUGCAAAUUGAUUUUAACUUAUGAGAGAAGCUCUUAUUUAAAGACAAAAUCAUUACAAGAUUAUUUCAACUUCUCCUUUUAUGUAUGUGCCUAUUGAGAAGUUUAACUGAAUUGUCUGUAAUUUUUUUGUAUUUGAAGUGUUGUCUCUCAGUUGUUAGCCUGUCUUAAAUAUAUGCCGGUUGCCUUUAGAAUUUUACAUUAUUUUUGGUUUCUAAAGAGGAUUGCAUUGUGCUUUGGGCCAUAGCGUCACUUUCUCCAGACAGGGUUUGACAUUGUAUUGAUUCUUAUAUUGCAACUUAGUUCGUCGUCAGCUUGGGUUGAAGUACCUCAUAUUGUUUCCAUAGUAAAAAACAACGGAUAUUUUAACUCUAAUACAUGGCCUUAUCUCUUCACUUUGAUUAUGAUUUAGUAGGUUUGCCUUAUGGAUGGUUUGAGUUCUGGGUUUUAUUUUCUAGCAUUGUUAAUUUUAAAAUUUGAAUCUUGUAGUGCCUAAAAGGGUUACAUGUUCUGGAUGAUAGAAGCUGAAAAUGGUGAUUGGUAAUUUUUGCUGCAGAUUAUAUUGGCCUGAAGUGGGUUGUUGAAACACUAAUGAUGGAUAAACUUUGUUGUUGCCGAAGUUUUAUCCUGCAAUAGUUGCUUUCGACCUAAAAUUGCUUUUCACACAAUUAAAUUUUGGAAAAUCAUUCUUUUAGUUAUACUUUUUGUUCUAGACUUCUUGGUCAAGAAGUUAGACCACUGAGAGAAAUUUCAGAGACUACUGAAACUUCAUAGUUGAGAAGGAUGAAUGUAUCUUAAGAUGAACAAAACUGCAGUGCAUUUUAUUCUUA